GAAAAAAAUACAACAACAAACACUGUCUGGUAUCACUUCCUCAGGAGUUGGGCCUACAGUGGUCUCAUGCCCUCCGCCACCCUGUUCCGUCCCGCAGCACGUGGGGCACGAACCCGGGUCUCCGGCGUAACGCAACAGGGAACCAGCUGCAUGAGCUAAAGGAAACCCAGGCAGCUGAGGCAGCUGAGGUCCCUGCUACGCGCAGUGAGGGCGAUGACGUCACCGUAUCCGAACUAGCUCCGCUACACCCUCCCCUGCUGAUUUCGCCUCGGCAAAGGACACCCAUCCGGGUCACAGCACCAGUUUUAUGUAACAGACAGCUUCCUCUGCGUUGUGUCAAAUGAACACCCAGGGACGCCAGGUAGAGGUCUGCGAUUUUAUUUCCUUAUAGAACAUAAAACACGUGGGUGUUACACACGCUAAAUGUCUCUCUCUUAAUCUUACACUGAUAAAGUGUAAGUGUAAAGUGUAAAGUUAUAUCUCAUCUUGCUCCCUCCUUGACUUUGUGAUUUUUGUUCUCUCUGGUGUUACUUUACUAAAAGGCUCAGACAACACACUUGAACAAAAGACAGUCUCAGAUGGAACCAUGUGUCAAUUCUGAUACUGGCAUUACUACAGCCUACAUAGUUGAGUUUCCUCCCAUUCACAUGGCUGCUUUCAAAUUGUGUAAAUAAUUGCUGGAAAGUUUAAUGGAGGUUUUAUGAAAGCUAUCUGCCACAUGUUUCAAAUAAAAAUACAAUUUUUACAAUAUGCAGGUGUACAAUAGAGAAUGUGACAAAAGGAAUGAGUUUUUAAGUAACUAUAAUAUUAAUUACUUCCGUUUAAAAUGUAAUGAUAUUACGUCAGGAUUGAAAAAAGUAAUAAACAUUUUAGUAGUACACUGUUAAGUAACUCCAAACUGUAUAAGUUUAAAUAAACAUUACUUUUAUGGCAGCUGUGAA
rnacentral:lncRNA from 1 species